rfam:Roseburia sp. 831b contig000001, whole genome shotgun sequence.
GCAGAUAUAAUCCUAAUUGGCAAGGAAACUGUUUGCUAAACAGCCAGUAGCCGGAAACGGUGUUUCAGUUCGAGUCUGAAUAUCUGCG